rnacentral:tRNA from 1 species
GCGGGUGUAGCUCAGUUGGUAGAGCGCAACCUUGCCAAGGUUGAAGUCGUGGGUUCGAGUCCCAUCACCCGCUCCA